rnacentral:rRNA from 1 species
GAUGAACGCUGGCGGCGUGCCUAAUACAUGCCAGUCGAGCGAACGGACGAGUAGUUUGCUCUUCUGAUGUUAGCGGCGGACGGGAGAGUAACAUGUGGAUAACCUACCUAUGAGACUGGGAUAACUUCGCGAAACCGGAGCUAAUACCGGAUAAUAUUUUGAACCGCAUGGUUCAAACGUGAAAGACGGUCUUGCUGUCACUUAUAGAUGGAUCCGCGCUGCAUUAGCUAGUUGGUAAGGUAACGGCUUACCAAGGCAACGAUGCAUAGCCGACCUGAGAGGGUGAUCGGCCACCCUGGAACUGAGACACGGUCGCGACUCCGACGGGAGGCCGCAGUAGGGAAUCUUACGCGAUGGGGGAAAGCCUGACGGUGCAACGCCGGGUGAGUGAUGAAGGUCCCCUGCUCGGUAAGCUAUGUUAGUAGGGGGGUACAUAUGUGUAAGUAACUGUGAACAUCUUGACGGUACCUGCUCAGGAAGCCACGGCUAACUACGUG